AUUGAACGCUGGCGGCAGGCCUAACACAUGCAAGUCGAGCGAGCGGCGGACGGGUGAGUAAUGUCUGGGAAACUGCCUGAUGGCGGGGGAUAACUACUGGAAACGGUAGCUAAUACAGCAUACCAUCAGAUGUGCUCAGAUGGGGUUGGCUAGUAGGUGGGGUAACGGCUCACCUAGGCGACGAUCCCUAGCUGGUCUGAGAGGAUGACCAGCCACACUGGAACUGAGACACGGGCCCGACUCCUACGGGAGGCAGAAGUGGGGAAUAUGGCACAAUGGGCGCAAGCCUGAUGCAGCCAUGCGGCGUGUGUGAAGAAGUCCUUCGGGUUGUAACGCACUUUCAGCGGGGAGGCGUUACCCGCAGAAGAAGCACCGGCUAACUCCGUGCCAGCAGCCGCGGUAAUUA
rnacentral:rRNA from 1 species